rnacentral:rRNA from 1 species
AACGAACGCUAGCGGCGUGCUUAACACAUGCAAGUCGAACGCGAAAUUUUUCUUCGGAAAGAAAGUAGAGUGGCGCACGGGUGAGUAACGCGUAAGUAAUCUACCCUGGCAUCUGGAAUAACUCACCGAAAGGUGUGCUAAUACCGGAUACGUUGAGAGAUCAAGAAAGGUGGCCUCUGCAUAUGCUACUGUGCUGGGAUGAGCUUGCGUACCAUUAGCUAGUUGGUAGGGGAAUGGCCUACCAAGGCGACGAUGGUUAGGGGGUCUGAGAGGAUGAUCCGCCACACUGGAACUGGAACACGGACCAGACUCCUACGGGAGGCAGCAGUGAGGAAUAUUGCGCAAUGGGGGCAACCCUGACGCAGCGACGCCGCGUGGAUGAUGAAGGCCUUCGGGUCGUAAAAUCCUGUCAAGUGGAAAGAAGUGCAUGGUGGCUAAUAUCCAUCAUGUUUGACGGUACCACUGAAGGAAGCACCGGCUAACUCCGUGCCAGCCGCCGCCGUAAAAC